rnacentral:rRNA from 1 species
CACGUAUUUAGCCGGUGCUUCUUAGUCAGGUACCGUCAUUUUCUUCCCUGCUGAUAGAGCUUUACAUACCGAAAUACUUCUUCGCUCACGCGGCGUCGCUGCAUCAGGGUUCCCCCCAUUGUGCAAUAUUCCCCACUGCUGCCUCCCGUAGGAGUUUGGGCCGUGUCUCAGUCCCAAUGUGGCCGUCCACCUCUCAGGCCGGCUACCUGAUCGUCGCUUUGGUAGGCCGUUACCCUGCCAACUGGCUAAUCAGACGCGGGUCCAUCCCAUACCACCGGUAGUUUUCACUACAGCAACAUGCGUUGCCGUGCGCUUAUCGCGGUAUUAGCAGUCUAUUUCUAACUGUUACUCCCCUGUAGUCGGGUCUAGGUCGCCCACGUCGUUACUCCGCCCGUCCGCCACUCACGUCACUAUACUU